GCUUGGAUAGCUCAGUUGGUAGAGCAAAGGACUGAAAAUCCUUGUGUCAGUGGUUCAAAUCCACUUUCAGGCA
rnacentral:tRNA from 1 species